rnacentral:rRNA from 1 species
AACGAACGCUGGCGGCAGGUCUUAGACAUGCAAGUCAAACGGGCGCAGCAAUGCGUCAGUGGCGCACGGGUGAGUAACGCGUGGGAAUAUGCCCAUUGGUGGGGAAUAACGUUUGGAAACGAACGCUAAUACCGCAUAAGCCCAUCUUUUGAUUUCUUGGAACUUCGGUGAAGAGAAAUCAAAUGAUGGGGAAAGAUGCAAAUCGCCGAUGGAUUGGCCCGCGUUGGAUUAGCUUGUUGGUGGGGUAACGGCCUACCAAGGCGAUGAUCCAUAGCUGGUCUGAGAGGACGAUCAGCCACACUGGGACUGAGACACGGCCCAGACUCCUACGGGAGGCAGCAGUUAAGAAUAUUGGACAAUGGGGGAAACCCUGAUCCAGCCAUGCCGCGUGAGUGAAGAAGGCCUUCGGGUUGUAAAGCUCUUUUAAUCGUGACGAUGAUGACGGUAGCGAUAGAAAAAGCACCGGCUAACUUCGUGCCAGCAGCCGCGGUAAUACGAAGGGUGCAAGCGUUGUUCGGAUUUACUGGGCGUAAAGCGUUUGUAGGUUGUUUGUCAAGUCAGGGGUGAAAUCCCGGGGCCCAACCCCGGAACUGCCUUUGAUACUGGCAAGCUGGAGCGCGACAGAGGAAGAUGGAAUAUACGGUGUAGAGGUGACAUUCGUAGAUAUCGUAUAGAACACCAAUGGCGAAGGCAGUCUUCUGGGUCGUUGCUGACACUGAGAAACGAAAGCGUGGGGAGCAAACAGAAUUAGAUACUCUGGUAGUCCACGCCCUAAACGAUGCAUGCUUGUUGUUGAUUUCCCUCGGGGAACCAGUGACGAAGCUAACGCGUUAAGCAUGCCGCCUGGGGAGUACGGUCGCAAGAUUAAAACUUAAAGGAAUUGACGGGGACCCGCACAAGCGGUGGAUUAUGUUGUUUAAUUCGAUGCUACGCGAGAAACCUUACCGACCCUUGACAUCCCGCACGCGAUUUCCGGAGACGGAUUUCUUCAAUUCGGUUGGUGCGGUGACAGAUGCUGCAUGGCUGUCGUCAGCUCGUGUCGUGAGAUGUUAGGUUAAGUCCUGCAACGAGCGCAACCCACGCCCUUUGUUGCCAUCGGAUAAUGCCGGGCACUCUUGGGGGACUGCCCGCGUCAAGCGGGAGGAAGGCGUGGAUGACGUCAAGUCAUCAUGGUUCUUACGGGUCGGGCUACAAACGUAAUACAAUGGCGAUAACAAUGGGUCGCGACGCCGCAAGGCGCAGCCAAUCCUGAAAUAUCGCCCCAGUUCGGAUUGUCCUCUGCAACUCGAGGGCAUGAAGUUGGAAUCGCUAGUAAUCGCUGAUCAGAACGCAGCGGUGAAUUCGUUCCCGGGU